UUACUCAGCAGUUGGGCCCCCCUGACAGCUGUUCAAUGGGGAUUAUGAUGUCACAGUGGUAAUUACACUAUAAACAGGGGAUGGGGGAUAGGAAAGCAUGAAAGAGAACUGUGAGCUCUUGUUACCAGGCAACACAAAAUCUGUAACCUGAAACCCAGCAAGCAUGUAAAUUCCCUUACAAGCCUCCCAGAUGUCCUCACUUCAGGGCCAACAGCUCAGUUUCAGUUUCAAUUUGUUUAUUUACUCUUCUCCAGUCACCAGUGUGGACCUGAGAAUGUUGGAAGAGAGAGGAGAAAGCAAAGGAAAAUGGGAAAAGGAGGGAUUGUGUUUUCUGCACGGGGUGGCAGCCAACAGGAGAGAGAACCAAGGACCUUGCCCCUUCUGCAGAGCUUCUGUGUUGACACAUGAAAUCAGGAUCAAGAAGAAGCUCUGUGCUCAAGAAUAGGAUGCAGUAUCAGAAGGGUCAAGAAGGAAUAUAAAUCUGACCAACACAACACUGUAUCUGCAUCUGACAUUUCAGCUCUUCUCAGUCAACCGUUUCCUGUAGGAGGGAGAGAGAUUACAACUUUGAAGUGAAUACUGAGCAGUAUUUUUCUGAUGUGAAGAUAAUGGAUGUACACAUAUAAAUCCUCAUGACAGUAAGGAAUGGUUCCUAGAGAAUGGCAGAGCCUCCGGGAGUCAUCCACUCCAGUAGUAACAUUUUUCAAACCACUCUAGAACUUAGCUGUCUGCUGUACCUUGGAAAGUUCCUGAUGCUAUCAGACUAGAACAGAAGUAGAAUAGUUUAAGUUUCAUAAAGAGGUUUUUUUUCCAGAAAGUAUAGCUCUUGUAUAAUUCCAACAAAGAAAGAAAAUUCCCCUUCAUGGACCUAGUCUUCAUACUGGGCCAAUAAACCCAAUGACCUCCAAGAGGACAUUGAGUAAGAGAAGAGAUCUGCAGAUGCCUAAUUCACUCACAGUCUUGGGUUGAGGAUGGGGUGACCCAACCCGCCAUCAAAAGCAGACUGUUGCCGUGAAGACAAGCUUUGCGCUUUUCCUCUAUAGAAGUUAGCAGCCCUCUGUUUUUGCCUAGAUUGCUUGCCUUUAUAAGAAGGGUGGGAGAGAGGAAGAAAAGAAAAACUGUCUUUGAGUUCCACAGAAAUCAUUCAUAUGAGAGAAAAAUACACAUUGAUCAUAAAAAUUCAUAGUCCAUUCCUUUAAUAUUUAGUAAAAAUGUUUUCUUUUAACCAAAACCAAAGCCUUCUUUUCUUUACUUU
rnacentral:lncRNA from 1 species